GAUGAACGCUGGCGGUGUGCCUAAUACAUGCAAGUCGAGCGAACGGACGAGAAGCUUGCUUCUCUGAUGUUAGCGGCGGACGGGUGAGUAACACGUGGAUAACCUACCUAUAAGACUGGGAUAACAUCGGGAAACCGGAGCUAAUACCGGAUAAUAUUUUGAACCGCAUGGUUCAAAAGUUAAAUACGUUCUUGCUGUCACUUAGAGAUGGAUCCGCGCUGCAUUAGCUAGUUGGUAAGGUAACGGCUUACCAAGGCAACGAUGCAUCACCGACCUGAGAGCGUGCACGGGCACACUGGAACUGAGACACGGUCCAGACUCCUACGGGAGGCAGCAGUAGGGAAUCUUCCGGAAUGGGCGAAAGACUGACGGAGCAACGCCGCGUGAGUGAUGAAGGUAUUCGGAUCGUAAAACGCUGUUAUUAGGGAAGAACAUAUGUGUAAUUAACUGUGCACAUCUUGACGGUACCUAAUCAGAAAGCCACGGCUAACUACGUG
rnacentral:rRNA from 1 species